GAUAUCUAAGAAAACCUUACUAGUCCUCAAAAUCCUAAAUUUCAAGACCUUAGCCCACAAAAACCUUCAUAUGUAUUGAUCUAGCCAUUCGAUUGACUUCAAAUCUCUUAUAUACAUUCACAACAAGCAUACCAAUAAGUCUCUAAAUUUUCAUCCAUAAAAAUGCUACAAAAGUCACAAAAUCCAAAAAUUUGUAAACCAGUUUUAUUUCUCAAAGAUCUAAAUUCACAAAGAACAUUACUUACUUUGAAAAUCCUUCAAAAAUCCAAUACUGAUCUAAGUGACACAAAAUCACCUCUCUAAAAUCUCUCCAUAAGUCUGCCCC
rnacentral:lncRNA from 1 species